GAACCCAGGAGGCGGAGAUUGCAGUGAGGUGAGAUUGCGCCACUGUUCUUUAGUCUGGGCAACAGUGCGAGACUCCGUCUAAAAAAAAAUGUAACUUCAUUCUGGCUAAAUUUAUACAACUGUCUUGAUACUAAAUUGUCAGUUUUUUAUGAUAGAAUUUGGAACUACAAUUUGGAUUCUAGAUGGCUUCUUAAAUACUGAUUUUUGUUUUUUCCCUCAGUGUCUUGUGAAAUGUUGUGAUAGAACUGAAGAGAAGGGAGAGAAGGACUGUUAAAAAAUCUGAAAGAGUGACUUUAAAGGUUUUCUACAUUUCUCUGAAGUGAAUAGUUGUCAGGUAUUUGUGAGAAAUUGUGUAGAUUGCAGCUGAUGUACUAUCAGUGAACAAGACACAGUAUCUGUCUUCAAGGCACCUACAGUCUAAUAGACAAAGACUAUCAAAUAAGCAGGUACUGUUUCAGAACUGUUUUGAUGGGAAAUAUAGGCUGCUAUGAGAACAUCUAAGGGGGCUAAUUAAGGGAUGGGUAUCUAAGGAUAGCUUGGGAAGUCUUCUUAGAGUAACUGGUAUUUAAACACUUAGGUAUUAUCAGCCUGGAUGAGAGAUUAGGGAAGUGUGAGAGUGGACUGGAGGAAAGACUAUUUAAGCAAGAGUCUGGAGGCAGGAGACUGCAACAUAUUCAGUGCGACUGCCUGGAGAAGGAUGGAUGUAGAAAUGGUGAUAGAGGGGAGAUUAGCAGGGGCCAGCUACAGAUCUCGAAGUCAUUUUUAAGGAGUGUGGACUUUGUGUUGAGGGCAAAGAGAAGCCAUUGGAAGAUUUUAAGCAGAGUACUGACGUUCAAACUUUCCUCUGAAUUCUAGGUAGUGUGCUGCCUAGAUUAUUAUUUUAUUCUUUAAUACAAUUUUCAUUGUUAUUCUUGGUUAAAAGUUACUUGGUAGAAUCUUACUGUGUCUUUUACAUAUAUCCCAAAAUAUUGCUUUAUUUUACCCUUUCCUGUUAUCCUUGGAUGAUAAUAUUGCUUGGAGUAAGAGUCUAGUUAUUUCUCCACCAUUUUUGUGUGUCCAUGCUUACUGAUGAGUACUGAUUUUUAUUUUUUCUGUUAGUAGCUUUUAGGGUUUUCUCCCUCUCUCUCUCUCUCUUUUUUUUCCCCCAGAGUUUUCCAAGAAUGGGAGAGUGUGGGUUUUAUUUAUCUUAUUUAGUGCUCAGUGAGCACUUUUAGUCUGAGGACUCUUGUCUCAAACUCUAGGUGGAAUUACAGGUGUUGCCACCAUGCCUGACUAAUUUUUGUAUUUUUGGUAGAGAUGGAUUUCCCUAUAUUGUCUAGCUGGUCUCAAACUCCUCACCUGUAGUGAUCCGCCUGCCUCAGCCUCCUAAAGUGCUGGGAUAACAGGCAUGAACCACUGCACACAGCUGAAAAUAUUUAUCUUUAAACACUAGAGUCUCACUCAGUUCAAUGAGAUGCUCAUAUUAUGAGAGGCAAGAAGUGAGACACUCGGA